AGUCGAUCGGUNNCGCGGGGGCACCCUGGCGACGAGAGGCGGACGNNNGAGGAACGCUUGGGAAUCUGCCCAUCAGCGGGGGACAACCCGGGGAAACCCGGGCUAAUACCGCAUACGCUCUACGGAGGAAAGCCGGGGACCGCAAGGCCUGGCACUGAUGGAUGAGCCCAAGUCGGAUUAGCUAGUUGGCGGGGUAACGGCCCACCAAGGCGACGAUCCGUAGCUGGUCUGAGAGGACGAUCAGCCACACUGGGACUGAGACACGGCCCAGACUCCUACGGGAGGCAGCAGUGGGGAAUAUUGGACAAUGGGGGAAACCCUGAUCCAGCGACGCCGCGUGGGUGAAGAAGGCCUGCGGGUUGUAAAGCCCUUUCGGUAGGGACGAAAGCUCUCGACCUAACACGUCGAGAGGAUGACUUAACCUACAAAAGAAGCACCGGCUAACUCUGUGCCAGCAGCCGCGGUAAUACAGAGGGUGCGAGCGUUAAUCGGAAUUACUGGGCGUAAAGCGCACGUAGGCGGCUUGGCAUGUCGGGUGUGAAAUCCCCGGGCUCAACCUGGGAACUGCAUCCGAAACUGCCUUGCUAGAGUAUGGGAGAGGGAAGUGGAAUUUCCGGUGUAGCGGUGAAAUGCGUAGAUAUCGGAAGGAACAUCAGUGGCGNAGGCGACUUCCUGGACCAAUACUGACGCUCAGGUGCGAAAGCGU
rnacentral:rRNA from 1 species